AUCAGCAGCAUACCUCAGUAAUAACCAGUCGCACCUCUGCUGUACUCGAAAUAACGCGAGUCAGGGAUAUUUCACUCUUCUGACCGGCCGGCUUAAAUGGCGAACCCAGAAAGAUGAAUGGCUGCCGUCAGAAUGAGAGUCCAAACAGCUGAUAAAAACAUCACAAUAAUCCACAAGUAGGCUAAUAGGAAGUGUUGCAUGGAUUAUGGAUUCAUAUUUUGACCGGAAGCAAAGGUUAAAACAUAAUAGAUUUGUUUCUUACAAAAACACUGAUUUUCACUUUAACGUUAACUGAUUGAGUGGAUUCGUGUGGAUUAUUGAUUUUUAUCAGCUGUUUGAACUCUGGAUUUGAUGGCACCAAUUCACCGUUCAUAAACACAUCUACCACUUGGAAGGGCCAAAAAUGUAAAGCUUCAAAUAGUUCUAUAAAUAACUUUGUAAAAGUUUUCAAAAGAAUAAAAUGGUUUAAUCUAAGUCUUCUGAAGAGACACACUUUAUAUGGGGAUUUAAUUUAAUCUUUUAUUCAUAAGUACAUUGAUCAGUGCACAUCCAUACCAUCCAUCUCAGUUUCAUGUGUUUGGAUUAAUAUGAUGAUUAGUAAAUGAUGACAGAAUUAAAAAAUUUGGGUAAACUCUCCCUUUGAAGAAUAUUCUGCAUUCAGUGCAAGUAAAGCUAUUUGCAGCAUUAUAUUCAUUACCACAAAAAUAACUUUAUUGUGUUUAGUGUAGCUUUACUUUUGACACAAUAAGCAAUGUUUUGGCCGAACUGGCGCCAUUCACUUCAGUUUUGUCUUACUGUAACCUAUCAGAACUAUGGACUUGUCUGUGUGUGUUUUUUCCCUUUGACCCAUUUACUGUGUCCCGUGGAUUGUUGAUUAGUUCCCAGGUGUGUCUCCUUAGUUCCCUCAUUAUCCUGUCUUUAUAAACCCCAGUCCUUUCUGUUCAGUUUUGUCAGGUCUACCAUUUCCAUUCAUGUGUCUUCUUCCUAUUCUCCAUGUCGGAUUUACUCCUGUGAUGGAUUAAUAAAGACUAUUUCGAUUAUCCUCGGCUCUGUGUUCCUUCCGGCAGCGUAGUGUGACAGAAGACCCGACCUUAACAGUUUAAAUUGCGUGUCUACCCUCUGUUUGUUUUUGCUUUUUAUUUCCGUUGUGUACCCUAUGGAUCCCCUCCUUUGCCCUGACUUCAUCCUCCUCCUGCUGGAGCAGGGGGAAAAUUCGCUUGAGGGUCAUACCAGACUGUUUCUGGCUAUCGCCCAUUUUACCACCUACCCGGACAACGUGCUCUGCUCGUUCUAUGACGCAAGCCUCAAUCCCACGUGCAGAGCGCCAUCCUCCGAAGAUGGCCCUUGAGCAGAUUUCGCUGCCUUCAUUGA
ensembl:lncRNA